GACGAACGCUGGCGGCGUGCCUAAUACAUGCAAGUCGAACGCAUUUUCUUUCACCGUAGCUUGCUACACCGACAGAAAAUGAGUGGCGAACGGGUGAGUAACACGUGGGUAACCUGCCCAUCAGCGGGGGAUAACACUUGGAAACAGGUGCUAAUACCGCAUAAUUCCAUUUACCGCAUGGUAAAUGGAUGAAAGGCGCUUUUGCGUCACUGAUGGAUGGACCCGCGGUGCAUUAGCUAGUUGGUGGGGUAACGGCCUACCAAGGCUGCGAUGCAUAGCCGACCUGAGAGGGUGAUCGGCCACACUGGGACUGAGACACGGCCCAGACUCCUACGGGAGGCAGCAGUAGGGAAUCUUCGGCAAUGGACGCAAGUCUGACCGAGCAACGCCGCGUGAUUGAAGAAGGUUUUCGGAUCGUAAAACUCUGUUGUUAGAGAAGAACAAGGAUGAGAGUGGAAAGUUCAUCCCUUGACGGUAUCUAACCAGAAAGCCACGGCUAACUACGUG
rnacentral:rRNA from 1 species